rnacentral:rRNA from 1 species
GACGAACGCUGGCGGCGUGCUUAACACAUGCAAGUCGAGCGGUAAGGCCUUUCGGGGUACACGAGCGGCGAACGGGUGAGUAACACGUGGGUGACCUGCCCUCCACUUCGGGGAUAAGCCUGGGUAAACUGGGGUCUAACUACGGGAAUGGGGACCAUUCCAUGCAUGUGGGGUGGUGGAAAGUCGGUGGCUGUUGUGGUGCUGGCGGUGGGGGAUGGGCCCGCGGUCUAUCAGCUUGUUGGGGGGUGAUGGCUUACCAAGGCGACGACGGAUAGCCGGCCUGAGAGGGUGAUCGGCCACACUGGGACUGA